AGUGAACGCUGGCGGUAGGCCUAACACAUGCAAGUCGAACGGCAGCACAGUAAGAGCUUGCUCUUACGGGUGGCGAGUGGCGGACGGGUGAGGAAUACAUCGGAAUCUACUUUUUCGUGGGGGAUAACGUAGGGAAACUUACGCUAAUACCGCAUACGACCUACGGGUGAAAGCAGGGGAUCUUCGGACCUUGCGCGAUUGAAUGAGCCGAUGUCGGAUUAGCUAGUUGGCGGGGUAAAGGCCCACCAAGGCGACGAUCCGUAGCUGGUCUGAGAGGAUGGGGGGGCAAAGUGGAAAUGAGACACGGAACAGACGCCUACGGGAGGCAGAAGUAGGGAGUGUGAGGAGAUGGGCGAAGGGUUGAAGGAUCCAUGGGGCGGGAGAGAAGAACAUCUCCGGAUCGUAAAACUGUGCUAGUGGGGAAGAAAAAAUGGGCACGGAACUAGGCCCGGACUGAAGGUACCUAAUAAGAAAGACACGGCUAACUACGUG
rnacentral:rRNA from 1 species